GACAGGAAGGCAGCAGCAGAGAGCAUGGCCAUGCCUGGUGGUUG
rnacentral:SRP_RNA from 12 species